GCAAUGGUGGUUCCAUGGUAGAAUUCUAGCCUUCUAUGUUGAAGACCCAGAUUUGAUUUCCUGCCAAUGCA
rnacentral:tRNA from 1 species